CCUACGGGGGGCAGCAGUGGGGAAUAUUGCGCAAUGGGCGAAAGCCUGACGCAGCGACGCCGCGUGAGGGAUGAAGGUCUUCGGAUCGUAAACCUCUGUCAGCAGGGAAGCACGGUCACUGUGCUAAUCAGCAGUGAAUUGACGGUACCUGCAAAGGAAGCACCGGCUAACUCCGUGCCAGCAGCUGCGGUAAUACGGAGGGUGCGAGCGUUAAUCGGAAUUACUGGGCGUAAAGCGCUCGUAGGCGGGAUGUCAAGUCAAGGGUGAAAUCCCCGCGCUCAACGUGGGAACUGCCUUUGAAACUGGCAAACUGGAGUGUGUGAGAGGAGAGUGGAAUUCCAGGUGUAGGAGUGAAAGCCGUAGAUAUCUGGAGGAACAUCAGUGGCGAAGGCGACUAUCUGGCACAUAACUGACGCUGAGGAGCGAAAGCGUGGGUAGCAAACAGGAUUAGAUACCCGAGUAGUC
rnacentral:rRNA from 1 species